rnacentral:rRNA from 1 species
GAUCCUGGCUCAGGAUGAACGCUAGCUACAGGCUUAACACAUGCAAGUCGAGGGGCAGCAUUUUAGUUUGCUUGCAAACUAAAGAUGGCGACCGGCGCACGGGUGAGUAACACGUAUCCAACCUGCCGAUAACUCGGGGGAUAGCCUUUCGAAAGAAAGAUUAAUAUCCGAUGGUAUAUUAAAACCGCAUGGUUUUACUAUUAAAGAAUUUCGGUUAUCGAUGGGGAUGCGUUCCAUUAGUUUGUUUGGCGGGGUAACGGG